rnacentral:lncRNA from 1 species
AGCCAUGUAGUGAGCACAAAGCGAACUAUUCUUUCGCCUUUUACUAAAGAAUACCGUGUGCUCAUUACAUCAAAUGGCAUACACUUAUUUUUGGAGAGCUUCUUCUGUUAUUGAAGGGCUCCAACCAAUCUUCUAGUUAAAUUUCUUUUACCUGUUUUGUAAAAAAAAUUUGAAUUUUUUUUUACAGCCAGUAUACUAGUUCAAAUUUGAUAAUUGUACAAUGUUAAAUUGAAAGGCAUGCAGCCAUGUAGCGAGCACAAAACCAACUAUUUGUUCGCUUUUUACUAAAGAAUACCUUGUGCUAGUUAUACAUUAAAUGGCAUACAACUACUUUUGAAGAGCAUCUUCUGUUAGAAGGGCU